rnacentral:rRNA from 1 species
UACGAAGGGGGCUAGCGUUGCUCGGAAUCACUGGGCGUAAAGCGCACGUAGGCGGAUUGCUAAGUCAGGGGUGAAAUCCUGGAGCUCAACUCCAGAACUGCCUUUGAUACUGGCGAUCUCGAGUCCGGGAGAGGUGAGUGGAACUGCGAGUGUAGAGGUGAAAUUCGUAGAUAUUCGCAAGAACACCAGUGGCGAAGGCGGCUCACUGGCCCGGUACUGACGCUGAGGUGCGAAGGUCAGGGGAGCAAACGGG